AAAUUGAUUACAGGAAUGCAAAGAAAAAAACUUUUACAAUUACAUCUUCCAUCAAAAAAAAAACAAAAAAAAACAACCUUUUCAAAUGAAAACGUACAGUAUGCUACUUGCUGAACUCUGGGAUUGUUUCAGUGUUGCAUUGUAUUAUGCUUAUGAAUUACAUAAUUACAUUAUUGUUCUUGUUAUGCCUACAUUUCUUUUAAUUUUAGUUUGUGUAAAAGCAACAGGAUUCUGUCACUGUCUUGCACACUGACAAUGGACUUGGAUAUUUUCUCAGGAUAAUUAGGGGUCCAGAGUUCCAGUUCCACUGUUAUUAUCAUGAGAAUUCAACAAAUCGAUCAAUGAAAGAGAUUAAAAAAAUAAAAUAAAAAAAAUUGUUGUUGAUGGAAAUCCAGCUCUAAGCACUGAAGGUUAUGGAUUUAAAAAUGUCUUUUUGAAUUUUAAUCCGUAGCAGACACACAUUUACCAAAUAAUAGAUUUGUAGUGAACCUAUGUAUUAUAUUUCUUGAAGUGGAGUACUUUCCAUUUGAAAUAUGUUUGUAUCUGUCGCUUUAUGUACAAAUACAGUUUUGUUUAGGUUGUGGAAGGACCUACCACUGUUUGAUUUUACCUUGCCUGAUGGUUCUUAACGAGGUCCAGUAAAAGAUGCUUGAUAUUCCAUCCUCUUGUCUUUACUUGUUUUAAAAAUUCAGUAGAGGCCUGUAUGCAGUCUGUGAAUUGUAGAUCAACAUACAACUUGAACUCUUACUAGAUUGUCUUACAAGGUUUUGAGUGUGGGAUGAAAGUUAAUUCUCCAUUUAGGUUUAGCACUAGAUGCAGAAAUAAGAUGUUAUGAAAGGAUUAAGAAUCUAUGCACAAGUUUGAGUGGACAGUAUGUCCGGAUACGCUAUUCUUGCAAGGAUCUUUUUGGUGGGUUUCUUUGUACGAGUUUUUAUUUGAAUCAGCAGAUAUUAAAGUGUCAGCACCAUGCUCUGUGUCUCUCAACCAAGGAGUAUCAUCAACCAAGCACUGUGCGUUUAUGCAAAUCUCUGACAUUCUGGUGUUUAAAUGGGAUGAUUGGUUUUGAAAGGGAAUUUAACUGUUUCUCUUUAUUGUUCAGCUAUUAAGAACAUGACUGUACUGAGAUCUAACAAUGUUGCUGACUUUUAAAUGUUUUUUUUUCUUCUUCUUUUUUCUCUUUCCCUUAAAAUGGAUAGUUGACACACAAAUGAAAAUCCUGUCGCCAUUUACUCACCCUCAAGUAGUUCCAAAUCUGUAUGAGUUUCUUCUGGUGAACACAAAAGAACAGUUGCUGUUGCUGGUAGCCAUUGACUUCUUUUGUUCCAUUUUUUAUUCUUCUUCUCUCACUAUACUGUGGAGGUCAGUGGCUACCAACAACUGUUUGGUUACCUGCAUUCUUCAAAAUAUCUUCUUCUGCAUUCAACAGAAGAAAGAAAUUCACACAGGUUUGGAACAACAAAAUUUUCAUUUUUGGGUGAAAUAUCCUUUUAAUAGAAUGUGAUCAUUUGAGGCCUUUCCAUGUGGUAUGGAGAUUAUUUCAGCCUAUAUUAAUAAACAGCAUUUUCCUCUUGA